GGAGAGGUGUCCGAGCGGCCGAAGGAGCACGCCUGGAGAGCGUGUAUGGGGGAAACCCCAUCCCGGGUUCGAAUCCCGGCCUCUCCGCCA
rnacentral:tRNA from 1 species